rnacentral:rRNA from 1 species
ACGGAUGGAUCUGCGGUGCAUUAGUUAGUUGGCGAGGUAACAGCUCACCAAGACGAUGAUGCAUAGCCGGCCUGAGAGGGCGAUCGGCCACACUGGGACUGAGACACGGCCCAGACUCCUGCGGGAGGCAGCAGUAGGGAAUUUUCGUCAAUGGGCGCAAGCCUGAACGAGCAAUGCCGCGUGAGCGAAGAAGGUCUUCGGAUCGUAAAACUCUGUUGCGGGGGAAAAAGGAAGGGAAGAGGAAAUGCUUUUCUUUUGAUGGUACCCCGCCAGAAAGUCACGGCUAACUACGUGCCAGCAGCCGCGGUAAUACGUAGGUGGCAAGCGUUAUCCGGAAUGAUUGGGCGUAAAGGGUGCGCAGGCUGCGCGUCAAGUCUGAAGUGAAAGGUACGGGCUUAACCGGUACAGGCUUUGGAAACUGGCACGCUAGAGGACAGGAGAGGGCGGUGGAACUCCAUGUGUAGCGGUAAAAUGCGUAGAUAUAUGGAAGAACACCAGUUGCGAAGGCGACCGCCUGGACUGUUGCUGACGCUCAGGCACGAAAGCGUGGGGAGCAAAUAGGAUUAGAUACCCUAGUAGUCCACGCCCUAAACGAUGAGGAGCAGGUGUCGGAGGGAGGACCCCGGUGCCGAAGCUAACGCAGUGACUCCUCCGCCUGGGGAGUAUGCACGCAAGUGUGAAACUCAAAGGAAUUGACGG